GCGACGCUCUCUAUUCUGUUUUGUGGAAAUCGGCAAUUAUUUCUAGUUGGAUCAAUGGGUAUAAUUCCUAAGCGGUCGGGUGCGUCUGCGUAAGCGUCUGCGUACAUUUGGAAACCCAUUCCGUUUUGAGUUGCGAAACCAACCGCCUAGACUUUCCCCCAACCCGGCGGCGCCCAGCAGUAAGUUAGGCCUGCCCUACAAGGAGCCAGCGAGCGCCAGGCCUUCCCGAGGGACCUCAGGAGCCGUCUUACCAAUGUUUUGUUCAGCUCCCAGCGUCCCAACUUUGGGCCUUUGGGGAAGAGCCUUAACGAGUGAAAUUUGCAAGACCCCGGUCUGGGAGUCUGCUGGGCCCCCCCAAAGAGGGAGAAGGUGAAGAGAGUUGACGCUCCUGCCUGCAGCUGCGAGUGAAGACUCUGCAGCCUGGGUUCCCAAUCCCUCCCCAAGUCAGUGCUUUUCAGCCUUUUUUUAAAAUGAACACUCCUAAUAGAAGGCUCUAGAAACAGAAACACACCUUCCCUCCAUCCCCAUCCCAAACAUGUGGGAAGAACACUGGCCAGCGGGAGACCGAACUGAUCAGGAUGGGAGGGCUGUGUUGUAUGGAGGACUCUGAAUUUCUGAUCACUAUGGCAACCAGAAGUCACCCACAACACUCUCAACAAUGGAAAUCAUCGAGGGACAGUCCAGCCUGUGCCCCUCAAUGUCCUGAGACCCCAAGAUGCUUCCUCUGCUGUCCUUGGCUUUCCAGAGAAAAUUACAGAAUCGACCUGACCUGAUGGGGACUCUUUGGAGUGAUGUUACUCACAGCCAGGUGUGGGGUUUAGGUGUCCAUAUUCUAUACCCCUGGCCCCUUCAGUGUUGGGAACACUGUGGGCAGGCACCUUAGCCUUCCCUUCGAUGGCCUGGACCAAUCUCUUCAUGGGAGGAAGAAGUCGGAAACUAGAAAUUCUCACGUCAAUGGUAAAUGAUACCCGCCUUUCUUUUAGGAACAACAACAACAGCAAAAUGUUUGCUUGUGGAUUUGACAGAGGAAAUA